rnacentral:rRNA from 1 species
GACGAACCGUGCAAACGUUGUUCGGAAUCACUGGGCGUAAAGGGCGCGUAGGCAGCUUUUCAAGCGUGCGGUGAAAGCUCGGGGCUUAACUCCGAGUCUGCCGUGCGAACUGGGAGGCUUGAGUCUGGUAGAGGUCGAUGGAAUUCCGGGUGUAGCGGUGGAAUGCGUAGAGAUCCGGAAGAACACCGGUGGCGAAGGCGGUCGACUGGGCCAGUACUGACGCUGAGGCGCGACAGCGUGGGGAGCAAACAGG